AGUGAACGCUGGCGGUAGGCCUAACACAUGCAAGUCGAACGGCAGCACAGUAAGAGCUUGCUCUUACGGGUGGCGAGUGGCGGACGGGUGAGGAAUACAUCGGAAUCUACUUUUUCGUGGGGGAUAACGUAGGGAAACUUACGCUAAUACCGCAUACGACCUACGGGUGGAAGCAGGGGAUCUUCGGACCUUGCGCGAUUGAAUGAGCCGAUGUCGGAUUAGUUAGUUGGCGGGGUAAAGGCCCACCAAGGCGACGAUCCGUAGCUGGUCUGAGAGGAUGAUCAGCCACACUGGAACUGAGACACGGUCCAGACUCCUACGGGAGGCAGCAGUGGGGAAUAUUGGACAAUGGGCGCAAGCCUGAUCCAGCCAUACCGCGUGGGUGAAGAAGGCCUUCGGGUUGUAAAGCCCUUUUGUCGGGAAAGAAAAGCAGCAGGUUAAUACCCCGCUGUUCUGACGGUACCCAAAGAAUAAGCACCGGCUAACUUCGUG
rnacentral:rRNA from 1 species